rnacentral:misc_RNA from 1 species
UCUCCGUAGGUGAACCUGCGGAGGGAUCAUUACUGAGUGAGGGUCUCCGGGCCCGACCUCCAACCCUUUUGUGAACCACCUCGUUGCUUCGGGGGCGACCCUGCCGUUCGCGGCGUGGGGCCCCCGGAGCCCAUCAAACCCUGCAUCGUUGCGUCUGAGUCGAAAUAUAAAUCAAUCAAAACUUUCAACAACGGAUCUCUUGGUUCUGGCAUCGAUGAAGAACGCAGC